rnacentral:rRNA from 1 species
UACAGAGGUCUCAACCGUUGUUCGGAUUCAUUGGGCGUAAAGGGUGCGUAGGCGGUCGUGCAAGUCGGAUGUGAAAUCUCAGGGCUCAACCCUGAAACUGCAUUCGAUACUGCGUGGCUAGAGUGCUGGAGAGGAGACUGGAAUUUACGGUGUAGCAUUGAAAUGCGUAGAUAUCGUAAGGAAGACCAGUGGCGAAGGCGAGUCUCUGGACAGCAACUGACGCUGAGGCACGAAGGCCAGGGGAGCAAACGGG